rnacentral:rRNA from 1 species
AUGCUGCUAGGCUGCGGGUCGCUCUCCUCGUGGGUGCGCCGCCUCGUCGCCUGCGUGGGAAAUUGUUUUGGAUGUGCGAAGUCUACUCCUAUAACAGCUGUUGAUGAGCCUUCUAAAGGUUUAAGGAUUCAAGGGCGCUCGAUUAAACAUCGUAGUUUGUCUGAAGAUUUUUGGAGUACAAGUCCACGUGAAAUGGAGAACAGUGCCUUGCAGUCACAGCGUAGUAUGUCUUCCAUCAGCACAGCAGCACAAUCUAGUGAGCAGCAUGGAGCUGGAAGUAGCAGCAACCCAAAUGAGUUUGUAAAUCAAGGUCUUCUACUCUGGAACCAGACUAGACAGCAGUGGGUUGGAAACAGAAGGCUUAAUUCUCAGCGUCAAAAGACCCGGGAGCCAAAAAUAGGUUGGAAUGCUACAUAUGAGAGCCUGCUAGGAAGCACCAAGACAUUUGCACAGCCGAUCCCUCUUGGUGAAAUGGUAGAUUUCCUCGUGGACGGCUGGGAGCAGGAGGGCCUAUAUGAUUAG